rnacentral:tRNA from 1 species
UGGCUGAGCGGUAAAGCGCUUGGCUUCCGAACCGGAGGUCCCGGGUUCGAAUCCUGG